AGCACUGCCACACAACACACAGGACUAUUAUAUAAUACUACUGAGAAUGACAUGAUACGUCAUUUUGCUUAAGACGUGAAGACUUACAUUAGCUCACCAAGUUAAUGUCUAGGCUUUAGCUCAGAAGGCUAACACAGUCUCUCCCUUGUUAUAUUGAAGUACUGCUACAACAGAUGUCAUUAAUUACCAGAUCAUGUCCACCUUUAAUGUUCCGCACUCUCCCUCCUCCCAUAUCGCCUUUAGCUCAGCGGUCUAACCCAGUCCCUCCUCUCCUUCAUCAGGUCUAGUGUUUAUCUAGGUAUAACCAAGUCUCUCCUCUCCUUCAUCAGGUCUAGUGUUUAUCUAGGAGGUCAAACCCAGUCUCUCCUCUCCUUCAUCAGGUCUAGUGUUUAUCUAGGGGGUCUAACCCAGUCUCUCCUUCCCCUGGUCUAGUGUUUAUCUAGGAGGUCUAACCCAGUCUCUCCUCUCCUUCAUCAGGUAUAGUGUUUAUCUAGGAGGUCUAACCCAGUCUCUCCUUCAUCAGGUCUAGUGUUUAUCUAGGAGGUCUAACUCAGUCUCUCCUUCAUCAGGUCUAGUGUUUAUCUAGGAGGUCUAACCCAGUCUCUCCUCUCCUUCAUCAGGUCUAGUGUUUAUCUAGGAGGUCUAACUCAGUCUCUCCGUCAUCAGGUCUAGUGUUUAUCUAGGAGGUCUAACCCAGUCUCUCCUCUCCUUCAUCAGGUCUAGUGUUUAUCUAGGAGGUCUAACUCAGUCUCUCCUUCAUCAGGUCUAGUGUUUAUCUAGGAGGUCUAACUCAGUCUCUCCUUCAUCAGGUCUAGUGUUUAUCUAGGUCUAACCCAGUCUCUCCGUCAUCAGGUCUAGUGUUUAUCUAGGAGGUCUAACCCAGUCUCUCCUUCAUCAGGUCUAGUGUUUAUCUAGGAGGUCUAACCCAGUCUCUCCUUCAUCAGGUCUAGUGUUUAUCUAGGAGGUCUAACCCAGUCUCUCCUCUCCUUCAUCAGGUCUAGUGUUUAUCUAGGAGGUCUAACCCAGUCUCUCCUUCAUCAGGUCUAGUGUUUAUCUAGGAGGUCUAACCCAGUCUCUCCUUCAUCAGGUCUAGUGUUUAUCUAGGAGGUCUAACCCAGUCUCUCCUUCAUCAGGUCUAGUGUUUAUCUAGGAGGUCUAACCCAGUCUCUCCUUCAUCAGGUCUAGUGUUUAUCUAGGAGGUCUAACCCAGUCUCUCCGUCAUCAGGUCUAGUGUUUAUCUAGGAGGUCUAACCCAGUCUCUCCUUCAUCAGGUCUAGUGUUUAUCUAGGAGGUCUAACCCAGUCUCUCCGUCAUCAGGUCUAGUGUUUAUCUAGGAGGUCUAACCCAGUCUCUCCGUCAUCAGGUCUAGUGUUUAUCUAGGAGGUCUAACCCAGUCUCUCCUUCAUCAGGUCUAGUGUUUAUCUAGGAGGUCUAACCCAGUCUCUCCUUCAUCAGGUCUAGUGUUUAUCUAGGAGGUCUAACCCAGUCUCUCCUUCAUCAGGUCUAGUGUUUAUCUAGGAGGUCUAACCCAGUCUCUCCUC